UCUCUGGUGGUCCAGUGAUGUGUAAGAUUCUGCACUCCAAAUGCAGGGGGCCCGGGUUCGACCCCUAGUCAGGGAA
rnacentral:tRNA from 1 species